AACUUAGAAUUGAAUGAAGUAAAUUAUUAGAAAUGGAAGUUAAUUUUGGAAAAUUCAAGUGAUUGGAUUAUGGAAUGUUUUAUGCAAUCUUUUAUGAUAGUAUAGUAUUACCUAUUGUUAUCAUAAGUUAGGAAAGGAGAGGAGAUAGUGAAUGCAAAAGAUAGAAUUAUCAAUUUUAAUAUUUUAUUUGAUAGAAUGAGGG
rnacentral:lncRNA from 1 species